GGUGCUGGACAUAGAACUCUGCGUAAAUGUAUUGACUUUUAAUAGGAGGCCGUGUUCUGAGAACGCCGCAGCCGUAUUGGGUGCAGUGACUUCUGCUAGAGAUACAAUUCCUCAUGAACUGUCUGAUGCCUAAGGCCCUACAGCGUACCUGCUACUGCCCAGUCCUAACAGAAGCUCACGCUGAUAUUAGUGAGGAGAAGACACCAGUCCUCAUUAACUGUCUGGUGGCUAACACCCUGUGGCACACCUGCUGCUGACAAGUCCGAACACAGGCUCCAUCUCAUCCUGAGUGAACCAAAGGUCCCAACCACAAUCCCCAUCUUCCAGGGACACUGGGAGGACCAUCAAGUCUGCUGCAAUGCAUGGAGGGGGACAUGCAGCCGCCUGCACCUGUGACAGUGCCUGUCUUUUUCCAGGUUGAACUCAAAAGAAGAAAACUUUCAGGUCACUCCAUGGAGUCAUAUACCCAACUGAGGAGUAAUCUGCCUCUAAAAUCCAGAGGCCCCCUGGGUGCUGGUUCUCCAUCUUGGUAGCAGGUGGGGCCAGAUGCCAGCAAUCAUUGCUUACCUCAGAUAACUGCCUCCCCCUCAGAAGAGCACUGGACACAAACAUA